AGUGGUUCGAAGACGAGGUGUCGACGGUAGGAUUUCAGACCAUAGUUUAGGACGGGGCGCAUCUACAUCUACAGCAUAGCCAAUUGGCUAUCCAAGAGGGUCGUACGAUACGUCUCUUUUGGAAAGAGGUCCGAAGAAAGAGUUGAAGGUUGAUGGACACGGACUUAAGCUGACAUCAAGGGUUCCACUAGCUCUUCCACAAUAGGUGGAGAGUUGAGUUUCUAGGUUUGGGUUAUCUUCACUUCAGAGAACUAGUUUGAACAAGAUAAACACAAAUCUGGUAUCCGCAUUUGUGGAAAGAUGGCAUCUAGAGACAUCUUCAUUUCAUAUGCCGUUUGGUGAGAUGAGCAUUACUUUGGAUGACGCCUCUUGUGUGUUUCACUUGUCCAUCAGGGGUGUGUUCUAGAGUCCUCAAGAUGUCACUGAAGAGGUUGUUGUUGACUACUUAGGAGUGUCACAUAGUGAGGCAUAAACAUGUGUUCGUAGCUGUAGGGGUUCUUAUUAUAAAUUGGAGUGGUUAUAGGAUUUAUUCGUACAGCAUAGAGCUGCUUCUAGCUGGGCAUAUGCGACUAGAACAUAUUUGUUGAUGUUGGUGGGUUCCAUAAUUUUUGCCGACAAGACCUUUACACAUGUCGAGGCACGAUAUCUCUUACUGUUUACGGACUUAGAUAGAUGUUCGGGAUAUAGUUGGGGAGCAGCUACAUUGGUUACCCUAUAUAGAUACCUUGGAGAUGUGUCCAUGUUCAGUUGCAAGCAGCUCGGUGGAUAUCCUACUCUCCUACAGUGUAACAGUGUUGGAUUCACAAGUACUUUCCAAUUGUUGGAAAAAUAGGAUAGAAUUGGAAACCAACUGAUAAUUGUGGUCCUCCUCGAGCGAUGAGAUGGUCAUAUAGGCAAGGAGUCCUGAAGGUGGAUGAUUUGCAACCUAUUUUGGACGAGCUGACACUUGCCGACGUCAUAUGGCAUCCAUUUGAGAAUCAUAGAGGAUGGCGCCAGUUUGAUGAGUUAUGUUUGUACAUGGGGUGUUUGAAGUGGGGUGACACAGUUGUUCCAUACUUGCCUGACAGAUGUAUACGUCAGUUCGGAUACAAGCAGUAUGUUCAAUCCCCACCUCUUGAUUGUAUGAUGGCUAAUGAUAUUGAUGUUGAUUGGGUUGGUUACCAUCAGAGCGUUCUUGCUGUGAUCCGUCCAACAUUGGCCACGACUAUAUCUGAUAUAGAAGAUGGAUACCUGGAGUGGUAUUAUUGUGUUUCUCAUCCUCGUUUGAUCUCGUCCCAUAGUGAUGAACCAAGAGAGGUGUCAGAUCAUGUUCACGAAGCAGGACCAUCUGAUCCUAAUUGGACUCGUGUUUCUACAUUGAUUCAUCGUUAUCUGAGACAAGUUAAUGCCGAAGAGGAAGAUCCGCAGUUUGCUGAUUUAUUUGAAGUUUUGCAUAUUUCUCGUUCACAUUGAUUUAUGUAU